rnacentral:rRNA from 1 species
UACGAGGGGUGCAAGCGUUGCUCGGAAUUAUUGGGCGUAAAGGGUAGGUAGGUGGUCUCGUUUGUCUGGGGUGAAAUCCCCGGGCUCAACCUGGGAACUGCAUUUGUGACUGUAGAGCUGGAGUACGGCAGAGGGGGAUGGAAUUCCGCGUGUAGCAGUGAAAUGCGUAGAUAUGCGGAGGAACACCGAUGGCGAAGGCAAUCCCCUGGGCCUGCACUGACGCUCAUGCACGAAAGCGUGGGGAGCAAACAGG